rnacentral:rRNA from 1 species
GACGAACGCUGGCGGCGUGCUUAACACAUGCAAGUCGAACGGUGAAGCGCCUUCCUUUUUGGUGGGUGUGGAUGAGUGGCGAACGGGUGAGUAACACGUGAGUAACCUGCCCCCUUCUUCUGGAUAACCGCAUGAAAGUGUGGCUAAUACGGGAUAUUCUGGGUCUGUCGCAUGAUGGGUCUGGGAAAGAUCUUGUUUCGGUGGGGGAUGGGCUCGCGGCCUAUCAGCUUGUUGGUGGGGUGAUGGCCUACCAAGGCGGUGACGGGUAGCCGGCCCGAGAGGGUGGACGGUCACACUGGGACUGAGACACGGCCCAGACUCCUACGGGAGGCAGCAGUGGGGAAUAUUGCACAAUGGGCGCAAGCCUGAUGCAGCGACGCCGCGUGAGGGAUGGAGGCCUUCGGGUUGUGAACCUCUUUCGCCAGUGAAGCAGGCCUGCCUCGUUUGUGGGUGGGUUGACGGUAGCUGGAGAAGAAGCGCCGGCUAACUACGUG